rnacentral:RNase_P_RNA from 1 species
AUGCUCAAGUAACCGCUCGUACAUGUUUGCGAGAGGAAAGUCCAUGCUCACACAAGCUGAGAUGCUUGUAGUGUUCGUGCUUGACGAAACAAUAAGUCAAGGCAGCGAAUGAUCGCUGACGGCAGGGUUUCGACCUACGUCCUCAACGGAUAUGGUCCAUAACCCUUUAAAGUGCCACAGAGACGAGCUUGAUUGGAAACAAUCAAGGUGGAACGCGGUAAACCCCUCGAGUGAGAAACCCAAAAUAAGGUAGGGGCGCUCUAUUGCAGGGAAUUCAACCUAGCAUAGAGGCAAACUUGUUAGACAAGUUUGCAGAUAGAUGGUUACACCGGAGUACGAGGCUGACCACCGUUUGCAGUACAAAGGAACAGAACAUGGCUUAUGUAG